rnacentral:ncRNA from 2 species
AGGUUGACGGUUCUCCGAGCUCUAUAUCCUACGUCCACAGAUACGGGUAUUUAGCCGUGGUAAUAAUGCCACCGGGGUGAGUAAAGAAAUGCGCUUACCUCCCACACUUGGAAAGGUUAACAUGUCCCAACUAC